UAACUUCCGAUCUAAAAAAUUAGAUGUAAUAUGAACUUUUUGCCAUUUUUGUGAACUUUUGACGCAAGCGAGCAUGAAUAUUUUAAAAUUUCGAAACUUUGAGUUUAUUUUCUUUGUCUUCCUCAGUUUAUUGUAAAUAAAACGUUAUCCACUCUGUGGCAUUUCGUUGUUCGUGUCUUAUGACAACAAUUUUAGUCGCCAUUUUGUGGAAUAUUUUAGUUAUUUGUGUUAAACUUGGAAAUGUUAACGUGAAAAAAACUGAACCGAACGAAGAAAAAGUAGAAGCAAUACAUUCAUUCUGUGCUUGAUCUCAUAAGAUAAAUCGUAUUUCACCGCCUACCUAUGUUGUCAAAACGACAACAAUGAAUCGAGAAGAAGGUUUAAAAGCUUUGGAAACUUCAAUCAAAACCAUUGAAGAAGUCAUUAUGAACAAGAAAGCCAAAGGUUGUCACAGGUAUGGAUGAAGCAGAUUUUGCAAAGGAACUGGAAAAACUUGAACGUCAAAAUGCAGAAGUUGAUGGUGAUGAUGAUAAUCCUGAUGAUGAAGAAAAACAAGAUGAAGCAUAAAUGAUUGUGGUUUGUUUUAAAACUUGCUGUGUUUUAUUUUUAUCAUACACGACCUGCAGUUGUCUUGAACAACAAUUAGUUUAACUUCAAACUCUAUUCAAACCCUAUACAUUACAAACAUUAAUUAUUUUCUAUAGACGAUCCGAAAUAGAUAUUUCAUUGUCAAUAUUUAACGAGGCAGUUUUUGAAGGUCCCCUGUUCGGGUUAAACUGCAGCUCUGAAUUUGUAGUUUGUGUUGAAUAGGACAUUCGUCAUCGUGAAACUAUUGUAAAUGCCAAGUCGUUGAAAUGAAAGCAUAUUUAGAAAGGAGAUCAUUAAAUUUCAUAUUGCUAACAA